AGACCACUGACGCCGCAGGUUAACUAUGAUCAUUACAGCACAAAGGUGGCAAUUUAAAAGAAAAGGAACCUCUUCAAAUGAUCACUGUGUGGAAGCUGAUGUAUUGUACCAGAAUCUGCCAACUGAUAUGACAGGAAGAAGGGAGAUGAUUAACCUGUGAUUGGCCUGGGGCAGCACAACAAAGGCAGGAGGAGGAAGACAGAAUGGACCACUAGCCUAAGUUACAAUACUACAACAACUUGCACUCGCAUGGGCCCUUGGCAUGAGAAACAUUUUGAACCACUUCUGAGUGUGUAACGGCACAAAAACUGCAACAAAACAGAAAUUGCUGGAGAAAUCAGUUAACGUUUCGAAUCCAAUAACCCUUCUUCAGAACACAUGGGACGAAAACUGCACUUGAAUCAAAGAAGGAGACAUUAGAACAGGAUCAUAAAGGGAACAUGCCCACAUAAACUGAAGAGAAAAAGGAAAAAAUAAGGCAGGGGACAGACAAGGGAAAAUGUUCCAACAGAAGUGAGUAGAACACCACAGAUUUACGGCAACUGCAGACGACCCGACAUCCUACGUGCAGAAGGCAGAAAGCUCUCUGAUGAAGGGUCUAGGCCCGAAACGUCAGCUUUUGUGCUCCUGAGAUGCUGCUUGGCCUGCUGUGUUCAUCCAGCCUCACAUUUUAUUAUCUUGGAAUCUCCAGCAUCUGCAGUUCCCAUUAUCUCUGAUCCUAC